rnacentral:snRNA from 1 species
AUCACUUCUCGGCCUUUUGGUUAAGAUCAAGUGUAGUAUCUGUUCUUAUCAGUUUAAUAUCUGAUACAUCCUCUCUCCAAGGACAUUAUAUUAAAUGUAUUUUUGGAAUAGGAACUUACUCUGUCUAUGCAUCGACCUGGUAUUGCAAUACCUCUGGGAAUAGUGCACCAGAA